CGAACGAGAAGGUGUGCGUAGAACUAGCAAAAACGGAAAUUCCAAGAGGAGAAGGCACGUAGGUAGGAAGAUGGUGAAAAGAGGUGGCGCUGUUGAAGAAAAUAGAGAAACUGUCAAAACGAGCGUUAGAGGAUUAACCUAUAUAAAUUUGAACUUUGCAAAACAACAAUAUGAAGAGUUGCGGUAAAAGCAGUGGAACAGCUAUAAUAACGAAUUAGAUAGAAGUGCAGAAGACGAAGAAGAAAAAUAUAUACGAAGGAAACAAGAUGAAAUUGAGACGAGAGUAUCGGGGUGGAGGAAAGAGAUAACGAAUCAAAGAAAGAAACAAAAGGAGAGCAAGAUACGAAAAACGGUGGCAUUGAACUUGACACAACGACGAAGUACCGUGGUCUUUGCGGGAGAAGAAGAGGACCGGUGCUACCGGGAUUCGAAAAGAGGAGGGGAGAUGAGGGCGACCGGUCGAAAAGCAGGUUUCGGUGGCCUGUUCGUAUAAACUCAAAGGUAAAGUGGGAGGCCCCCGAUGGACAUGAAGAGAGAUCGAGGAACGAGAUGCGAUAAAUCCUUCUUCAUCUGUUCGUUCCGCUUUUCUGUCCUUUUUCGGAUCUUUUCGACCUUGUCGUGAUCACAGAUACAAGAUCGACGAUUGGAAUUGUUGGAGUUGCGAUGAUUCCGUUUCCGGACACUAUGAAAUUCCAAUAUGUAAACAUCGUUUGUAUCAUUUUCUUUUUGCCACCUUUUUUUCUUUCUUAUUUUUAACCUAUAUAAAAUUUAUGUUAAAUCAUCGAUACGAUAUUUUAAUAUAUCCGCUUUCAAGCUUUUUUCAUUAUUAUAGGACUACGAAUAAACUUGUUUUAUUUUGAAACAAAUGAUUGUGAAACGUAAUUUUACGUCUGAACUAUGCUCUUAUAUGCAUAACGGUGUAAGAUAUAAUGACUUCUUGUCGCAGAAUGUAUCCGGUAAUGACAUUUUAUCGUUUAUCAAUAAUAAUGUUAAAAAAAUA